UACGUAGGGUCCGAGCGUUGUCCGGAAUUAUUGGGCGUAAAGGGCUCGUAGGCGGUUUGUCGCGUCGGGAGUGAAAUCUUACAGCUUAACUGUGAACUUGCUUCCGAUACGGGCAGACUUGAGGCAUUCAGGGGAGAACGGAAUUCCCGUGUAGCGGUGAAAUGCGCAGAUAUCAGGAGGAACACCGGUGGCGAAGGCGGGUCCUCUGGGCCGAGUAC
rnacentral:rRNA from 1 species